rnacentral:lncRNA from 1 species
UUUCUUGCCCUUUUUGGAGGUUUAAGGUCUUCUGCCAGUGUUCAGUGGAUGCUCUGUGUGAACUGUUCUACAUGUAGAUUUCUUUUUUUUUUAUGUGUUUGUGGGAGAAGGUGAGUGCCAUAUCUUACUCCUCUGCCAUCUUGAUCCCGCCUCACUCCCAAUACCCGUUCAUGAUUAAAAAAAUCACUCAGCAAGCUGCAAAGAAUGUAUAAGUUUUGAUGAAUUCCUUCUUUUAAAUUUAUUCAUACAAAAUCUACAAAACAUUAUUGAAAAACUGAAGAUGAUCUAGAUAAAUAGAACAACAUCUUGUGCUCUUAAAUUGGAAGAUUCAACUUGUUAAGACCAAAAUACUCCCCAAAUUGGUUGUUAGAUUCACAGAGAUCCCUUUCAAAAUUUCAAUUGCUUUUCUUAAAGGUGUGUACAAGCUAAUACUAAAUUAUUAUAGAAAUGUGAGGGACCCGAAAUAGUCAAAAUAUUCUUGAGAGAGCCACAGCAACACGGGAUCCGAGCCAUGUCUGCAACCUACACCACAGCUCAUGGCAAUGCAGGAUCCUUAACCUACUAAGCGAGGCCAGGGACCAAACCCGCAACCUCAUGGUUCCUAGUCGGAUUGUUUCCACUGCGCCAUGAUGGGAACUUCCUGAAAUAAGACCAUUUUGGAAAAUCAGUGGCAGUGCCACUUCGGUAUUUGAGUUGAGUUCCCAUCGUGGCGUAGUGGUUAACGAAUCCGACUAGGAACCAUGAGGUUGCGGGUUUGGUCCCUGGCCUUGCUCAGUGGGUUAAGGAUCCGACGUUGCCGUGAGCUGUGGUGUAGAUCGCAGACUCGGCUCAGAUCUGGCGUUGCUGUGGCUGUGGUGUAGGUCGGCCGCUGUGGGAUCCGAUUAAACCCCUAGCCUGGGAACCUCCACAUGCCGCUAGUGCAGCCCUGAAAAGACAAAGAUAAAAUAAAAUAAAAUAAAAUAAAAAAAUCUUAUUUCAAUUUAAAUCUUAUGACUUCUGGAAAAUUUAGGGUAUGCAAAAAUGUUUCAGAAUUCUUGUGUUUAUGUAUUAAGUGAUCGUGUUAGGGUUCAGAUGUUUAAAAAUUGGUUUUUCACUUAUGUGUUUGUCUGAUAGAGUGUUCAAAAGCCACGCGGGAUGGAAGCCAAUUCUCUUUUGUGUGGGAAUCCCCCAUUCAGGGCAGGACAUCAAACAUCCCUGCCUCCUGUCAAAUAAAUGUAAAUAGCAAUAAAUAUAAAGAUGUGGUUUGUAUUUGUUUGCCUGCUUCUUGAGAUCAAUGAAAAGUGACUCUGGAGACACAGCUCCUAGCAAAAAUUGAUUUGGAAAAUUUGAAGGGCUGCUGAUGUCUCAGAUUAAAAUCUCAUUAAUUUAAGAUAAAAGGGCUUAAAUACAGGAUUUAAAAAUUAAUAGUGUGCUAUUAUUAAGGAGGAGUAGCUGAAGAAUAACAGCUGCUUACCAAUAUUGACUUAAUUACAGUUUAUUAUAAUCAGUUCUGGCACUAGCAGCUUAUAAAACCUUCUAUUGACAACUUUUAAAAGAACAAUGAAAAUCCCAAAGGGCUGCAUUUCCCUUUGAAUUAAAGUGCCCAUGGUAAAAAUUUGACUAAAGUAAAAUUUACUUAAUAUGUAAAUAUUUAUUCCUUCGCACAACUAUUGUCCCUUUCCCCAAGAAAAUUAUUUGAAAUCUAAAUAGAAAUCUGUAGACUUCGUUAUGAUUUUCCAGCAUACUUUGAAACAUUGAGUGAGUCAUGUUGGUUUGGAGGAGAUUCCAACUCAAUAAUGCAAUUUACCAUAUUUUAAUUUUGGCAAAGAAUGUUCACCCUGUUAUUUGAAAAAGACAAUAUUGUCAGUUCUAUCCUUAGCACUGACAUAGAACUCUCAAUUCUUUUAGGUCAGUAUCUUAAUAGAAAAAUCUAGCAAAAAAAUAUAUGAGCGAAAUAAUUCAUUGACUUAUAGUAAGAUCUGCCGUAUUUAAAUCAACAAUACAAGAAAUACCAAGGGACUUAUAUCUAAUUGAUUUAUACUCAAACUGUUACAUAAUAAGAGAAGCAAACUUGUGAAGGGAAUAUUAUAAGGACAAAAUAUGGUCAGUGCAGGGACUGAGCUUAAAGAAGAUGACUCAGAAAACUUUUUGUGGUAAUGGAAAUGUUCUAAACCUUUGUUGCAGUGAUGCUUAUAUACAUCUGGAAAAAUCAUAGAACUACACAUCUAAAAAGAGUGAGUUUUACUAUAUACAAUAAUAACUUAAAAAGACAGUUUAGGGGGAGGAUGCACUUGCUGGAGUUUGCUCAAUGACUCAACACUAUCAGGGCUAGUUUUGUGUUAUGACUUUUGUGGUUAUUCAAUAGAAGUCUAUACAGCCUACGAGAUGCAGCUAAAGCAGUGCUUCAGGAGAGAUAUACAGCCCCAAAUGUGUCUUUUAAAGAAGAAAUACUAAAAAUUAAUAAAUCAAAAACAUCUCUCAAGGGAUUAGAAAACUAACAGCAAAAUAAAUGUAAAAAUAAUAGAAGGAAAUAAUCAAGAAGAGAUUCAUCAAAAGAAUCAGCAAAGCCGAAGUUAGUUAUUUGAGAACAAAAAUAAAAUUGAUAAACUUCUAUUGAGAUUAAUUUUCUUACAAAAAGAAAGAGGAGGAGAAAAUACUUAAUAUCAGUUUCUCCAGAGGUUAUAUGAUGUUUUACAGCCAAAAAAAAGUUCUUAUUGGAGACUGAGAAGAGCUAGAAUAGAAUGCGAGAGUUUUCUCCUAGUUAAACUGUGGGGAGGUAUAUCUCCUCCUAAAUCAAAUCCUUGUUUAUUCAUUUGUCCCUCUAAGUGCCCAAGGAUUUGGAUAGUCUGCCUAUCUUUCUAAUCAGCUGUGUUAGAACAAGCUAAGUAAUGCUAUAAUAACAACCACAAUCUCAGAAGGUUAAAACACCAAAUGUUUAUUUCUUGUUCAUGUUACAUGCCCAUUUCAGCUUGCAUUGUCCUUGUCCUUACUCUAAAAUCCAGGCUGGAAAAGCAGCUUCCAGGUAGAGGACUCCCUAUCACAAUGGUAGAGGGAAAAGAAAGAAUAGCUACAGUGAGAAUGGUGUCCUAGGGCUGCAGCCUGGAGGUCACAAAGAACAUUUUUCAUCCAUAUUUUAUUAGCCAGUGCAAAUCACUUGGUACAGCCUAACUUCAAUUAUGCAAGGAAAUAUAAUCUUUCACCAAUGAGUGAAAAAUAUAUCGAGGAACAUAACACAGUCUAAUACAGCAGACAUUCAAUGAAAUUUUCCUCUCCUCCUUGACAUAAAACACUCUCUGCUGAAACUCAGAUGAACAUAAAAC